GCCUGGGUGGCUCAGUUGGUUAAGUGUCUGCCUUUGGCCCGGGUCAUGAUCCCAGGGUUGUGGGAUCAAGUCCCGCCUCAGGCU
rnacentral:tRNA from 1 species